GGAUGUGAGGGCAAUCUGGCUGUGACAUCUGUCACCCCAUUAAUGGCCAGGGUUGAUUUGGCUUGGCUAGGCGGGUGUCCCCUUCCUCCCUCACCACUCCAUGUGCGUCCCUCCAGAAGCUACACGCUUAGUCGAAGAGGAUGGUCUUCCCCGAAUAGAGACGGACUGGUCUUCAGUCAAGGGUAUAUGAGUAGCUGGGCACCCCUGCUAGAACCUCCAAACAAGCUCUCAAAAUUCCCAGUAGAAAUGACUUUGAACACAGUAUCCUUAAAUACCAGACUGUGGAGUUUGGAU
rnacentral:snRNA from 1 species